AAGUCGAACGGUAACAGGAAGCAGCUUGCUGCUUUGCUGACGAGUGGCGGACGGGUGAGUAAUGUCUGGGAAACUGCCUGAUGGAGGGGGAUAACUACUGGAAACGGUGGCUAAUACCGCAUAACGUCGCAAGACCAAAGAGGGGGACCUUCGGGCCUCUUGCCAUCAGAUGUGCCCAGAUGGGAUUAGCUUGUUGGUGAGGUAACGGCUCACCAAGGCGACGAUCCCUAGCUGGUCUGAGAGGAUGACCAGCCACACUGGAACUGAGACACGGUCCAGACUCCUACGGGAGGCAGCAGUGGGGAAUAUUGCACAAUGGGCGCAAGCCUGAUGCAGCCAUGCCGCGUGUAUGAAGAAGGCCUUCGGGUUGUAAAGUACUUUCAGCGGGGAGGAAGGUGUUGUGGUUAAUAACCGCAGCAAUUGACGUUACCCGCAGAAGAAGCACCGGCUAACUCCGUGCCAGCAGCCGCGGUAAUACGGAGGGUGCAAGCGUUAAUCGGAAUUACUGGGCGUAAAGCGCACGCAGGCGGUCUGUCAAGUCGGAUGUGAAAUCCCCGGGCUCAACCUGGGAACUGCAUUCGAAACUGGCAGGCUUGAGUCUUGUAGAGGGGGGUAGAAUUCCAGGUGUAGCGGUGAAAUGCGUAGAGAUCUGGAGGAAUACCGGUGGCGAAGGCGGCCCCCUGGACAAAGACUGACGCUCAGGUGCGAAAGCGUGGGGAGCAAACAGGAUUAGAUACCCUGGUAGUCCACGCCGUAAACGAUGUCUACUUGGAGGUUGUGCCCUUGAGGCGUGGCUUCCGGAGCUAACGCGUUAAGUAGACCGCCUGGGGAGUACGGCCGCAAGGUUAAAACUCAAAUGAAUUGACGGGGGCCCGCACAAGCGGUGGAGCAUGUGGUUUAAUUCGAUGCAACGCGAAGAACCUUACCUGGUCUUGACAUCCACAGAACUUUCCAGAGAUGGACUGGUGCCUUCGGGAACUGUGAGACAGGUGCUGCAUGGCUGUCGUCAGCUCGUGUUGUGAAAUGUUGGGUUAAGUCCCGCAACGAGCGCAACCCUUAUCCUUUGUUGCCAGCGGUUAGGCCGGGAACUCAAAGGAGACUGCCAGUGAUAAACUGGAGGAAGGUGGGGAUGACGUCAAGUCAUCAUGGCCCUUACGACCAGGGCUACACACGUGCUACAAUGGCGCAUACAAAGAGAAGCGACCUCGCGAGAGCAAGCGGACCUCAUAAAGUGCGUCGUAGUCCGGAUUGGAGUCUGCAACUCGACUCCAUGAAGUCGGAAUCGCUAGUAAUCGUGGAUCAGAAUGCCACGGUGAAUACGUUCCCGGGCCUUGUACACACCGCCCGUCACACCAUGGGAGUGGGUUGCAAAAGAAGUAGGUAGCUUAACCUUCGGGAGGGCGCUUACCACUUUGUGAUUCAUGACUGGGGUGAAGUCGUAACAAGGUAACCGUAGGGGAACCUGCGGUUGGAUCACCUCCUUACCUUAAAGAAGC
rnacentral:rRNA from 1 species